rnacentral:rRNA from 1 species
UACGGAGGGUGCGAGCGUUAUCCGGAAUUACUGGGUUUAAAGGGUGCGUAGGCGGCUAGAUAAGUCAGGGGUGAAAGGUGGCAGCUUAACUGUCAAAUUGCCUUUGAAACUGUUUAGCUUGAAUGAGGAUGAGGUUUGCGGAAUGUGGCAUGUAGCGGUGAAAUGCAUAGAUAUGCCACGGAACACCGAAUGCGAAGGCAGCAGACUGGACCUUUAUUGACGCUGAGGCACGAAAGCGUGGGUAGCGAACAGG